rnacentral:rRNA from 1 species
CAGCAGUCGCCGCGGGAAUACGUAGGGCGCAAGCGUUAUCCGGAAUUAUUGGGCGUAAAGAGCUCGUAGGCGGUUUGUCGCGUCUGCCGUGAAAGUCCGGGGCUCAACCCCGGAUCUGCGGUGGGUACGGGCAGACUAGAGUGAUGUAGGGGAGACUGGAAUUCCUGGUGUAGCGGUGAAAUGCGCAGAUAUCAGGAGGAACACCGAUGGCGAAGGCAGGUCUCUGGGCAUUAACUGACGCUGAGGAGCGAAAGCAUGGGGAGCGAACAGGAUUAGAUACCCGCGUAGUCCCUGUCUCUUAUAC